CUCUAUUUGAACAGAAGACGGGGAGAACUGAAAAAAAGGAGAAAGAAAAUUCUCUCAACAUCUACAAGCCGAUGUCUUAAACAAGAUCCGCAUAGUAACGAGGCCGAGCUUUGCGAUUUUUAGGUUUUUCUUGUGCCAGCCAAUAGAAUGGCCUCCACGUCCCAGUCGCUCCGUUUUCUGGGACCUGCCUCCGCCGGCCCCGGUGGCGGCAGCUUUGAUGCUCUCAAUCGCAUAAUUGCAGACCUCUGCACCCGUGGCAACCCCAAGGAAGGGACUGUUUUAGCCUUAAGAAAACAUUUGGAGGAAGAAGCUCGUGAUCUUAGUGGAGAAGCAUUUUCGCGCUUUAUGGAUCAGUUAUAUGAACGAAUUUCUAGUCUUCUGGAAAGUAACGAAGUUGCUGAAAAUUUGGGAGCUUUAAGAGCUAUUGGCGAGUUGAUAGAUGUGGCACUUGGGGAGAAUGCCUCUAAGGUCUCUAAGUUUUCUAUUUACAUGCGGAAUGUGUUUGAGGUAAAGAGGGAUCGUGAUGUAUUGACCCUUGCUAGUAGAGUUCUUGGACACUUGGCCAGGGCUGGUGGGGCAAUGACUGCAGAUGAAGUGGAAUUUCAGAUAAAAAUGGCACUUGAUUGGCUUCGCAAUGACAGAGCGGAAUACCGUCUUUUUGCUGCUGUUUCGAUCUUAAAAGAAAUGGCAGAAAAUGCUUCCACAGUAUUCAAUGUUCAUGUACCUGAAUUCGUUGAUGCUAUCUGGAUUGCACUAAGGCAUCCAACACUAGAGGUUAGAGAGAGGGCAGUGGAGGCAUUGCGUGCUUGCCUUCGAGUUAUUGAAAAGCGUGAGACACGUUGGCGUGUACAAUGGUACUACCGUAUGUUUGAGGCUACACAAGAUGGCUUGGGUAGAAAUGCUCCUGUUCACAGCAUACAUGGUUCCUUACUUGCAGUUGGAGAGCUUUUGAGGAAUACGGGUGAGUUCAUGAUGUCCAGGUACAGAGAAGUAGCUGAGAUUGUUCUCAGAUACCUAGAGCACCGUGAUCGGCUUGUUCGUCUUAGCAUAACUUCGUUGCUACCUCGCAUUGCUCAUUUCUUGCGGGAUCGAUUUGUUACAAACUAUCUAACGAUAUGCAUGAAUCAUAUUCUUGCGGUGCUUAGGCUGCCAGCUGAGCGCGGCAGUGGAUUCAUUGCCCUGGGGGAAAUGGCUGGUGCUUUGGAUGGGGAACUUGUCAACUAUUUGCCAACAAUCAUGUCUCACAUACGUGAUGCUAUUGCUCCACGCAGAGAUAGACCUUCACUGGAGGCUUUGGCCUGUGUUGGAAAUAUUGCUAAAGCCAUGGGUACUGUUAUGGAACCAUACGUACGUAAUCUUUUGGAAGUUAUGUUCUCUGCUGGUCUUUCCUCCACACUGGUUGAAGCCCUUGAGCAAAUAACUCUAAGUAUUCCAUCGUUGUUGCCAAGUAUUCAAGACCGGUUGCUUGACUCCAUUUCUUUAGUCCUUUCAAAGUAUCCUUAUUCUCAAGCAAGGCCAGCUGCUCCAAUGGCUAGAGGGAGUGCCAUGAAUGCACCUCAGAAAGUUUCAGACCUUAGUGGUUCAGCUCUAGUGCAACUUGCUUUGCAGACUCUAGCUCGUUUUAAUUUCAAGGGUCAUGAUCUGCUGGAGUUUGCGAGAGAAUCUGUUGUUGUAUAUUUGGAUGAUGAAGAUGGAGGCACACGAAAAGAUGCUGCACUCUGUUGUUGCAAGUUAAUUGCAAAUUCUUUUUCUGGCAUUACAUCAACACAGUUCAGUGCUAAUAGGUCCAAUCGAUCUGGGGGAAAACAACGGCGUCUCAUUGAGGAGCUUGUGGAAAAGCUUCUCAUUGCAGCUGUUGCAGAUGCCGAUGUGACUGUUCGCCAUUCUAUUUUUUCCUCUCUUCAUGGAAAUCGUGGUUUUGAUGAUUAUCUGGCACAGGCUAAUAGUCUGAGUGCGGUUUUUGCUGCUUUAAAUGAUGAGGAUUUUGAUGUUAGAGAGUAUGCAAUCUCUGUGGUGGGGAGAUUAUCAGAGAAAAAUCCUGCAUAUGUUCUUCCAGCACUUCGUCGUCAUCUGAUACAGUUGUUGACCUAUCUUGAUCAAAGUGCGGAUAACAAAUGCAGGGAAGAAAGUGCGAAGUUACUUGGUUGUUUAAUACGCAAUUGUGAACGACUGAUAAUUCCAUACAUUGCACCAAUACACAAGGCACUUGUGGCUAGACUUAUUGAGGGCACUGGAGUAAAUGCAAAUAAUGGCAUCAUCAGUGGGGUUCUUGUAACUGUUGGAGAUCUUGCUAGAGUGGGCGGUUUUGCUACGAGGCAAUACAUUCCGGAACUUAUGCCUUUGAUUGUUGAUGCUUUACUAGAUGGAGCAGCAGCUACAAAACGUGAAGUGGCUGUUGCAACUCUUGGUCAAGUUGUUCAGAGCACUGGGUAUGUCAUAACUCCUUAUAGUGAGUAUCCACAAUUACUUGGCUUACUCCUGAAAUUGUUGAAUGGUGAGCUAAUGUGGUCGACUAGACGUGAAGUACUAAAGGUUCUUGGCAUCAUGGGAGCUUUGGAUCCCCAUGCGCAUAAGCGAAACCAACAAAACUUGCCUGGCUCACACGGAGAAGUUGCUCAUGCCGCCAGUGACUCUGGCCAGCACAUUCCAUCAGUGGAUGACCUACCUUUGGACAUUUGGCCAUCUUUUGCUACAUCAGAAGAUUAUUAUUCCACGGUUGCUAUCAAUUCUCUCAGGCGAAUUCUUAGGGAUUCUUCACUUUCAAAUUACCACCAAAAGGUGGUAGGAUCCCUUAUGUUCAUAUUUAAGUCAAUGGGCCUUGGUUGUGUUCCAUAUUUACCAAAGGUUUUGCCUGAUCUCUUUCACACUGUCCGCACAUGUGAUGAUUAUCUUAGGGAUUUUAUAACAUGGAAGUUGGGAACUCUGGUGUCCAUAGUGCGCCAGCAUAUUCGAAAAUAUCUUCCAGAAUUGCUUUCUCUAGUAUCUGAACUAUGGUCGUCCUUUAGUUUGCCUGCAACUAAUCGUCCUGCUCGUGGAUUUCCAGUUCUGCAUCUUGUGGAACAACUUUGCUUAGCUCUCAAUGAUGAGUUCAGAACGCAUCUUCCGAUUAUUCUUCCUUGCUGUAUUCAAGUCCUAAGUGAUGCAGAAAGGUGUAAUGACUACACCUACGUUCUAGACAUACUACACACACUGGAAGUUUUUGGUGGGACAUUGGACGAGCACAUGCAUCUACUUCUUCCUGCACUCAUUCGGCUGUUUAAAGUGGAUGCUUCAGUGGAUAUAAGACGUUCUGCUAUCAAAACAUUGACAAGAUUGAUCCCUCGUGUGCAGGUCACUGGUCAUAUUUCUGCUCUUGUGCAUCACCUGAAACUGGUUUUGGAUGGGAAGAAUGAUGAGAUAAGGAAAGAUGCUGUUGAUGCACUUUGUUGUUUGGCACAUGCUCUUGGGGAGGACUUUACCAUUUUCAUCCCAUCAAUUCACAAACUCCUGUUGAAGCAUCGAUUGCGGCAUAAGGAAUUUGAAGAAAUUGAAGGACGCUUGCGGAAACGUGAACCUCUAAUCCUGGCGAACACAGCUGUACAAAGAUUGAACCGACGACUUCCAGUGGAGGUUAUUAGUGACCCUUUAAAUGAUAUGGACAAUGACCCUUAUGAAGAUGGGACUGAUUUGCAAAUACAACUUAGACAUCAGGUCAACGAUGGUCGAUUACGGACUGCUGGAGAGGCUUCUCAGCGCAGUACAAAAGAAGAUUGGGCAGAGUGGAUGAGGCAUUUCAGUAUUGAACUUCUAAAGGAGUCUCCUUCUCCAGCAUUGCGAACCUGUGCCAGGCUUGCACAGUUACAGCCUUUAGUUGGGCGGGAGUUGUUUGCUGCUGGUUUUGUUAGCUGUUGGGCACAACUGAGCGAGGGUAGUCAGAAACAAUUGGUUCGGAGUUUGGAGAUGGCUUUUUCAUCUCCAAAUAUUCCUCCUGAAAUUCUGGCAGCACUCCUUAACUUGGCAGAGUUCAUGGAGCAUGACGAGAAACCUCUUCCAAUAGACAUCCGUCUGCUUGGUGCUCUUGCAGAAAAGUGUCAUGCAUUUGCAAAGGCUCUGCAUUACAAAGAAAUGGAGUUCGUAGGUGCGCAAUCCAAGAAGACGGAUGCUAAUCCUGUUGCUGUUGUUGAAGCUCUCAUACAUAUAAAUAAUCAGUUGCACCAGCAUGAGGUCUUGUUUCAUAAAUUUAUGUUUCAAUGCUUAUAUAUUUUCAGCUUUACUUUGAUAUUUUCCCAUUUUCUUUGUUUCUGACUAUCUUUCAUUGAGUGUUUGUAGGCUGCUGUUGGAAUAUUGACCUAUGCCCAACAACAUCUUGAUGUUAAACUUAAGGAGUCAUGGUAUUGAUCCAUAUGAAGGAAAAUAAUAUCCUGAUCAAUAUAUAAAUCAUGGUCUCCUAUUUUGAAAGUAAGGAUAUGUCGCAACUAUAAUUUUCUGGUUCUUGUUUAGGUAUGAGAAAUUGCAGCGGUGGGAUGAUGCUCUUAAAGCAUACACUGCAAAAGUUGCGCAAGCAUCAAGUCCACAUCUUGUUUUGGAAGCUACACUAGGAAGGAUGCGAUGCCUUGCUGCAUUAGCUAGAUGGGAAGAGCUUAACAAUCUAUGCAAGGAUUUUUGGACGCCGGCAGAGCCAGCUGCGCGAUUGGAAAUGGCACCAAUGGCUGCUAGUGCUGCUUGGAACAUGGGAGAGUGGGAUCAAAUGGCAGAAUAUGUAUCUCGAUUAGAUGAUGGUGAUGAAACUAAACUUCGAGGUUUGGGGAAUACUGCCACUAGUGGUGAUGGAAGUAGUAGUGGCACAUUCUUCAGGGCUGUCUUAUUAGUUCGUAGAGGAAAGUAUGAUGAAGCUCGGGAGUAUGUUGAGAGAGCUAGGAAGUGUUUAGGAACAGAACUUGCUGCUUUGGUUUUGGAGAGCUAUGAGCGUGCUUACAGUAAUAUGGUCCGAGUUCAGCAACUAUCAGAAUUGGAGGAGGUAAUUGAAUAUUGGACUCUUCCUGUGGGAAAUCCUGUUGCUGAAGGACGACGUGCCCUUAUUCGAAACAUGUGGACAGAGAGAAUACAAGGAGCAAAGCGUAAUGUAGAGGUCUGGCAAGUUCUUUUGGCUGUAAGAGCACUUGUGCUUCCUCCAACAGAAGACAUUGACAAUUGGCUCAAAUUUGCUAGUCUUUGUCUGAAAAGUAAUCGGAUUAGUCAGGCUAGAUCAACUUUGGUUAAACUCUUGCAGUAUGACCCUGAGACAUGUCCUGAUAACGUACGAUACCAUGGACCUCCUCAAGUAAUUCUGGCAUACUUGAAAUACCAGUGGUCACUUGGAGAAGAUCACAAGAGAAAAGAAGCAUUUGCUAGGCUUCAGAAUUUGGCCAAAGAAAUUUCAAGUUCCCCAAAUAUUCAUUCAGUUGCACCAGCUGGUUUAUUGAGCAGUCCAAGUUCAAAUGUCCCCCUUCUUGCUCGUGUAUAUCUUGAACUUGGAAGCUGGCAGUGGGCACUAAGUCCCGGAUUGGAUGAUGACUCCAUACAAGAAAUCCUUGCUGCAUUCAGGAAUGCCACGCAAUGCGCAACAAAAUGGGCGAAAGCAUGGCACACUUGGGCUUUGUUCAAUACAGCAGUCAUGUCUCAUUAUACCAUGAGGGGGUUUCCUAAUGUUGUCUCACAGUUCGUUGUUGCAGCUGUUACUGGAUAUUUUCAUUCAAUAGCUUGUGCAGCAAAUGCGAAAGGGGUGGAUGAUAGCUUACAGGAUAUACUUCGUCUCCUUACCUUAUGGUUCAACCAUGGAGCUACUGCAGAAGUUCAAAUGGCACUGCAAAAUGGAUUUGCACAUGUUAAUAUCAACACAUGGCUGGUUGUUUUACCUCAAAUAAUUGCCAGGAUUCAUUCAAAUAAUCAUGCUGUGAGGGAACUAAUACAAUCACUUUUGGUGCGAAUUGGGCAAAGUCAUCCCCAGGCUCUUAUGUAUCCGCUUCUUGUGGCAUGUAAAUCUAUAAGCAAUUUACGUAGAGCAGCAGCUCAAGAAGUGGUAGACAAAGUUCGGCAGCAUAGUGGUGUGCUGGUGGAUCAGGCACAACUUGUGUCAAAGGAACUAAUCAGGGUAGCAAUUCUUUGGCAUGAAAUGUGGCAUGAAGGAUUGGAAGAAGCCAGUCGUUUGUAUUUUGGUGAACAUAACAUUGAGGGCAUGCUGAAAGUGUUGGAACCUUUGCAUGAAAUGCUAGAGGAAGGUGCUAUGAGGGAGAAUACCACCGUAAAGGAGAGAGCGUUCAUUGAGGCAUAUCGCCAUGAAUUGUUGGAGGCCUGGGAAUGUUGUAUGAAGUACAGGAGAACUAUAAAAGAGGCUGAGCUUACCCAGGCAUGGGAUCUAUAUUAUCAUGUUUUCAGACGGAUAGACAAGCAGCUUCAAAGCCUUACAACCCUGGAUCUGCAGUCUGUUUCUCCGGAGCUGUUAGAAUGCCGGAAUUUGGAGCUUGCUGUUCCUGGCACAUAUCUUGCUGAUUCACCAGUAGUGACAAUCGCAUCAUUUGCACGCCAACUUGUUGUAAUAACAUCAAAACAGCGACCCCGAAAAUUGACAAUUCAUGGGAGUGAUGGUGAAGAUUAUGCCUUCUUGCUGAAGGGACAUGAAGAUCUGCGCCAAGAUGAGCGUGUUAUGCAGCUUUUUGGUUUGGUAAAUACACUUUUGGAGAAUUCAAGAAAAACAUCGGAGAAGGAUCUAUCUAUUCAGCGAUAUGCUGUCAUUCCAUUAUCUCCGAACAGUGGGUUAAUUGGAUGGGUUCCAAAUUGCGACACCCUACACCAGCUCAUUCGAGAAUACAGGGAUGCUAGAAAGAUUACUUUGAAUCAAGAGCACAAAUAUAUGCUCAGUUUUGCUCCAGAUUAUGAUCAUUUACCACUUAUAGCUAAGGUGGAAGUUUUUGACUUUGCUUUGCAAAAUACUGAAGGAAAUGACCUAGCAAGGGUUCUUUGGUUAAAAAGUCGCACUUCUGAGGUAUGGUUGGAGAGGAGAACAAAUUACACAAGAAGUUUAGCAGUCAUGAGCAUGGUUGGUUACCUUCUUGGCUUAGGUGAUCGACACCCAAGCAACCUUAUGCUGCACCGCUAUAGUGGGAAGAUCUUGCACAUUGAUUUUGGAGACUGCUUUGAAGCUUCAAUGAACCGGGAGAAAUUCCCUGAGAAGGUUCCAUUCCGCUUGACAAGAAUGCUUGUAAAGGCUAUGGAAGUUAGUGGUAUAGAGGGCAACUUUCGCUCCACUUGUGAAAAUGUGAUGCAAGUUCUUCGGACGAACAAGGAUAGUGUGAUGGCAAUGAUGGAGGCAUUUGUUCAUGAUCCCCUCAUCAACUGGCGUCUUUUCAACUUCAAUGAAGUCCCUCAAAUGUCAAUGUUUGGGAAUACUCAUACUUCUGCUGUUGUAAAUGCUGAGGAAUCUGCUCCUAGUAGAGAGCUUCCUCAACCUCAACGAAGUGCUCGUGAGAGAGAACUUCUUCAGGCUGUUAAUCUGCUUGGUGAUGCUAAUGAGGUUUUGAACGAGCGUGCUGUGGUUGUCAUGGCUCGGAUGAGUAACAAACUGACUGGACGUGAUUUUUCCCCAUCAUCUUCAGUUUCUUCCUUGUCUAUCCAACAUGCAGUAGACCAUAGCUCCUUAAUUUUAGGAGAUAGUCGGGAAGUAGAUCAUGGCUUAUCUGUUAAAUUGCAAGUUCAGAAGCUGAUUAUCCAAGCCACUUCACAAGAAAAUUUGUGCCAAAAUUAUGUUGGGUGGUGCCCCUUCUGGUGAACAGAAAAUCACAAUGUGUAUAAUGUGCAUAGCUGAUUGAUGCUGGGACCUUGAGGAGAAGUCCUGGUUAGCCUUCUCGUUCAUUAUUGUUGUACAUGAAAGCAUAAUUCGUAAAAGUUGCAUGUACAAUCGAAAUAGAAAGUCUAAAUGUAUGUUCUGUAGCUAUUAAGUUCUCCCUCGACCCCUUUGUGGCUAGCCCCAUUUUUCCUUUCAAUUUGUGUGUGAAAUAGAGGGGGAGAUGUGCACAUUUAGUUUUUAAUUAUUCAACCAAUCAAGCUUUCAUCUCAUGUAGUUGCAAGAGAGAUGUGUUUGUCUUUUUGGAAUUGGCUCUAGUAAUAAUUAUAAGGAGGCGAUUGUCAAAACAAACUUUCCUUCUCCAUAUGGCCUAGGCUUUAAAGCUAUAUAUAUAUAUAUGAGGGGGAAAAACG
rnacentral:misc_RNA from 1 species